GGGGAGCUCUGUAGCAAAAGAGUCACUGAAGCGCUUUUACAGACGUGGUACUUACAGACGCACUUCUCUGAAAAAAACAGUCAUGUUUCGGUCAUGGAUCAAAGUUUGUGUUUGCUGUCACUUAAGAUGGAUUUACACUUUUAUUUUUUUCUGGAUGGAGUUUUCAAUCUGGCUGUCGAGGCGUCCCGAGCAGAAUGAAUGGACAAAACUCCUCUGCGAUCAGAGGCAGCGAGCAGCUUGACAGGGAAAACUUCCAGCCACAUCCCGGGGGAGCGAGAGAAACCAGACAGUUGGGUGAGAAUGGGUGAGGUUUCUAUUUGGUUCUUUUAUUCCUUUACUUGGCGCAACGGCACCGACAGCAAAUCAGCAAUUCCCACUUUGACUUCCUGAAAUUUCUAUUUGUUCUAACUUCUUAUAGCAACCUUCAUUUGUCACCAUCACACAUAUGUGUGACAUGUCUGUGGAUGAUCUUGAAGCUGUGGCGUGUAUUCUGUGGGGUCUGUGUAUGUUUCUCUCUCUCUCUGGUAGUAAGGUUAGGGUUUUUAUCGAUCUUGAAGAACCAGCAGCUUCAUUUUGUGAGAGGCAGCGGAGAUGGAGCGCUAACAUGUUGCGAUUUUCACGUGGCUGCUGUGAACUGCGUAAUUUUUCUCUCCACUUUAAACUGUAAACCGUAUUUGCAGGAGAUGUGCUAUAUCAGCUGCUCGCUUCUUCUCGCGGUAAUGAAGCUGGAUUGCAGUCGGCGUUUGCGCAUAAAGUGAACUUCUUGACUCUGGGAACAAAGUUUCAGAUAUAAUAGCGACCUUUCCUUAUGCUCCUGUGACCAUCUCAUGCUGGCAUCUCAUAGUUUAUAUCGUGUGGUGUCAGUUACCAUUUUAUUCGUUGGGAAAAAACUGUACCAGUGGCUUUAAGAGCCGAUCAACAGCAACAGAGGGCGUCAGUGAUCAGCUUUGGUUUCAAAUCGGCUGUGAGAGCCUGAGCUUCGCGGUUCAUUUUCAUCAGAAGUGUCUGCAGAAAGAAGGAGGUUUCUACGUGUAAACUGCUCACAGACAGCAAACAAAAAACAGGAAGUCCCGAAGUUACACUGAGUGUUCAAGGACCUGCACAUAAUCAGUCGAUAUGUCGUUGGUUGUGGUCUUCUUCUCCCUUCACGUCUUACUGGCUUCUGGAUUGAAAGAGCUCAGAGUGAGGCCUGGACAAGCUGCCACUCUUCAGUGUUGGGGUCCCAGAGAUGCACACAUCACCCUGCUGGAGUGGAGCAGACCUGAGCUCAUCUCACAGGGUUAUGUGUUCUUCUUCCAAGACCAGCGCUCAUACGAGAACUACCAGCACGAGUCCUUUAAACGCCGAGUGCAGCUGAGAGACUCAUCCAUGAUGGAUGGAGAUGUUACUGUGAUUGUGAGGAACGUCAGGGUCAGUGAUACGGGAAUAUACAAGUGUGAGAUUACAACCAGCAGCACCAGAAAUGACGAGAGAGUCGUCAGCGAGUUCAAGCACUCCAUCAACCUCACAGUCACAGACACAGGUUUCACAGAAGGAGAGUCCAAAGAAAGAGGACACAAGGAUGGAGGAGACAAGAAUCUAUCUUUUUUUAAUUUUGUGUUAAUUCUGUCAUGCGGACUCCUUGGUGUUAUGGUUAUUGUUACUGUAGCUGUAAAUAUCUACAGGAAAAAAAGUUUCUAAAGCUAUGUGUAUCAUCAUAGUAUCAUCUGUAUGUAGCAUUUCUCUUCUCUGAUCCUGUAAUCACAGUUACAACUUACAACAAUGUCAUGUUAGCAAGCAGACGAUACUAACAAAGUUGCUGUGGAUAUCAGAGUCACAAUAUUUUAUUAACACCUAAGAAAAUUAUAUUAGCACUAACCUCACAAAUGUGCUUCUGGAAGAAUGGUCAAAAUUCCCAACACACUCGUAAACCCUGAUAUGAAUAUCUAUCUAUCUAUCUAUCUAGCGUGGGAUAGACCCGCUCGCCUCGCAAGCAAUCGAGCUGUUAUUACCGUUGACAAAGCGCAGGUACACAGCUGCCAUAACCCCCACUGUACACUGACCUCAUUUACUGAGGUUAUAUUUACCGGGUUUUUAUUUCCUGAUGUUCGUAUGUGUCAUACCUGUUUCAGUCGCCAAAUCUGAAUUAUAACUAACAUUAAAAACAUGUUUAAGGAGGAGAGAGAGCAAAUAAAUCCGAUUAACAGCUGAUCUUUGGGUUUUUGUUCAGUAAUCAGCGUGACCUGUGUAUAAACGCAUAAAAGAGAAAACGUUGGUGUUUCCGUCAUGUAGUAACUGCUGGCUUUAACUGUACAAAGGUUGUUCGACACUAUGAAACACAUACAGACUUAAUGAUGUUCGGCUAAUAUUUUAAUUGUGAAUAUUAAUCAUGAGGGUAAACGACCCUGUACACCACGGAGCGAGGUCAGCAUAUCCACGAUAUCUUCAGCUCUCUGAGUUAACACACAGUUUCACAGCUGACUAAUCUAACAGUCAUCUACGAAUAAUUCAUGGGUCAUAUCUAUAUGAUUUUACUGAAAACCAUCCUUAUUACUACCAACUAUUCCAGAGACGUGAAAGUCUACAGUAUAAAGAAAAGAAAAGAACUGUCUGAGUGGUUAACUGAAGUUAACUUGGAUAAAUUAUAGUUAAGGAGUAUCACAGAUAACGCCCAUGUGAGCUUUGUGACUGUUCACCACUGCACUGAAAUCAGUAGGCUAUUACUGAAAUACACGUGCUAUAUCAUAAACUACGAUAUAAAUAGGGAGGUCCUAUUAACAUGUUUAGUUUUAAAGGACACCUUCCUGCCUUUAGUCUCAUUCAUGAGCAGUAUUAGUUUUCUUCUAACAUCCAGAAGUCUGCACGAUGUGUUUCAUAGUUUGUAACAAGCCUUUGACAGUUAAACAUAACAUGACUGGGGAAAAAAAAAAAUCACACAAAUUAUAUGUUAACCUCAUUUAUUUUUAGUUAAGUAAAAUCUAAAAAUUCUAACAGAUAGCUGGUGCUUAGAAUACAGUUGAAUAACUACUAAAAAACAGAUGAUGUAAUAUUUCUGUCCAGGUUGCAGUCUUCAUGAUGAACAUGCUGUUGCAAACUCUGCUCCUCUCGGUGGAAAUGCGCCUUCUCUUUCCUCUUUGUAUAAAAACAUUUUAAAAGUCAGUUUAAUCUUAAAAUUCACUGUUAAAUCCAAAACACACCAGAUAAAGAAAAGCGAAUAGUUCAGUCUAACACAUGUGCCAGUGAACCAUUAAACUUCAGUAAAACUCUGCAGUUAUGAAACGUAACUUUAACCUCAGCCAAACCGAUUUGCUCAGUUGUAAAUAAAACAGCGAAGUAAACGUGACCCGACAGACAAAACCUGAGUGAAUUAAGUCCAGCGUUUAACCACUGAGAGCUAAAACUCAGGUGAGGUUUCAAAGCUGUGUGGCGGUGAUUGGACAUCAGCCGCUGAUAAAGUGGGUUCGCCUAUAAAGUGCUCUGUUGGGAAACCAGCUCCAGCAGCUCUGCGCUCGGGGGAAAAAAAAAUACUUAUCUUGUGCAGAAAAAUGCGCCGACAUUGCGUUAUAUCGAGCAAAGUUAAACUGUGACUAUCACCAGGUAACGUGGGCGUGUUUCUUGAAUUAGCAGCAGGUAUUAAACAGCUGACAGGUGAGGAAGAGGACGCAUGCAGGUAAACUGAGGGCCUGUUGAGCUGAUCGCUGGUGUCCUGAGAAACAUGUCAGCUCGUUCUUUAUGUUACAGAAGCACAGACACACAAGACCAGGCGGAAAGAGACGAUCGUUCGGUGAAAAUGAGAAUCUGCAAAUGCAACAUGUGGAACACGGAGAGUGGAAUAUGUAAACAAACCGGUUAACGUAACCCCCCCCCCCAAAAAAAACCAAACAGUUAAGCUGGAACACCGGGGCUGUGGAGAAGGGUCUGGCUGCAGCCAUUGUGGAGCUCCACAGUAACCGGAAACACGUGACCUCCACAGUAGCCGGAAACACGUGACCUCCACAGUAGGCAGAAAUACGUUCCUGCGUGGAUCAUCGACUGUGGAAAUCUUGCAAGUGGAUUGUAAAGAUGCUCAUAUCAAUUUGGAGUUCUGCCUCCAAGCCAGAAUUGCAGGAAUGCACAACAUGUUGCAGAAGACUCUUUCACUGCCCUCUGUGCCCCACUUUCAGCCCUACUGUCAAGGCAAAGAUUGAGGAGCAUAUAAAUGGACACAUUAAAAAUGCUUUGCCUUUCAAAGACAAAAUGAUAUACCGGUGCACUUUCACUGCCCUGUCUGUAACAUGACAGUAAUACAGCGUGGGGAUAUGGCAAGGCAAUUUUUCUCAUGUCAUCAUUCAGGACUGCUCCCCACUGAACUCUCCGAGGAGCCCCAUCUCCCUCUCGAUGUCUUGUCUCCAGUAUCUAAACCAUUUUCUGAAUCUUUGGUAGAACAUUCAUGUGCUCUACCCUCUGUGCUAAAUGAAACUGUGGCUUGUGGAAAGUCCUUGAAAAUGAAACCCCCUCACUGUGGUCUUAGUCUUCUUAAAAAAAACUUCAAGGCUCACAUGAUGAGGAGGCAUUCAAACAGAUCAAUAGAUGUUUGCCUGGCUUGUCAUCUGCAGUGUUUUUGUGUAGAGGGACUUCUUCCUCUUUGUUUUUCAGUUUGCAGAGGACAUGGAGCUCUUUUUAAAAGCUUGUGCUGAUGAGCAGGGACUAUGGGUCAAUGCGAUGUUUGACAUUUAAUGGACAGAUGAAGGCACUGGCUGUUUGUUUGUGUUUUUUAUGUGUUGUUGUUUGUUUUUCAGUGUACAGAAUUCCAGUUAAACGUGUUAUUAAAUAUCCACUUGUUUCCAUGUCCAUACUUAUAGUAAAAAAAUUAAGUGUAAAUGCAACAGCAUUGUUUAUACUUGUAACUUCAGAGUAAAAAGCUUAUUGUUGAUAUUAACAUUAAUAUAUUACCCUGUAAUCAAUAAUAUUUUUAUACAUUUUACGCAUCAACCCUCUGGGCUCUAUCCUGGCCAUUUGUGGCCACUUGACUUCUCUUUUUGUUUUGUUUUUUUGACGACUACACUGCAGUGGACCAAAAGAAUGACAUAGGUUUGAUCUUAAGGAUCUAAUACUUGUGUGUGUUUGUGCAUGACAUUGCAAUGCAAAUAUGUAUUUGCAAGAUAGACUGAAAUAAAUAAUGACGCAUCAAAUAUUACACAGACUGCAGUGAAUUUUUGUUGAUACUGGCUACUGAGAUUUGAGUUUCCCAGUCAAACUCCUAUUAGGGACCGCUCCUGUACAGGAGACACUGGACUAGAUUGAUUGACAAUGGUCUACAGCAAUCAGAACGCACAACACGAUGUACUGUAAAAAAAAAAAAAAU
ensembl:lncRNA